UAAUUUGUUUUUUUUCUCUUGUCUAUUUUUUUUAUUUAUUUGUUUUGUUGAGUUUUUUUUAGUGUAAGUGGAAUUCAGCAGGGGGGAGUGUAACGGAGUGUAGUUGAUUCCACUUGGCACUGAACAGGCAAUCAGAUUUGCCGUUUUAUUUGCAGUCUAUGUAUCGGGGACACCUACUGGUUGGCACGGCUCUCCUCAGGUUAUAAAUACUGGCUGUGACGUUGCCUCAGCACCAGUAAGAGAGGAUUGAGCCCAUGCUGUGCCGAGCGGCUGAUGAGUGUGACCGUGACCGACCAGUGUGUGUCUCAUCGCUGUUUUUGCAGACAAUAAAGUCCGUUCCAAAUACUAAGAGUGUCGGCCUUCAUCCAGAAAAAUCACAACACAACGCAGACAGUGGU